AUCUCUUCUUGGCUUUUGGUUAAGAUCAAGUGUAUCUGUUCUAACCAGUUUAAUAGCUGAUAUAUCCUCUAUUCUAGGAUAAUAUAUUAAUGAAUUUUUGGAGCAGGUGUUUGGAAUAGAAACUUGCUCCAUCUAUUCCACAUAUCCACCUGAUAUUGCAGGAUCUCCAGAAAUUGUGCACCUUCC